rnacentral:rRNA from 1 species
GAAAUCAACCGAGAUUCCCCCAGUAGCGGCGAGCGAACGGGGAGCAGCCCAGAGCCUGAAUCAGUGUGUGUGUUAGUGGAAGCGUCUGGAAAGGCGCGCGAUACAGGGUGACAGCCCCGUACACAAAAAUGCACAUGCUGUGAGCUCGAUGAGUAGGGCGGGACACGUGGUAUCCUGUCUGAAUAUGGGGGGACCAUCCUCCAAGGCUAAAUACUCCUGACUGACCGAUAGUGAACCAGUACCGUGAGGGAAAGGCGAAAAGAACCCCGGCGAGGGGAGUGAAAAAGAACCUGAAACCGUGUACGUACAAGCAGUGGGAGCACGCUUAGGCAGUGUGACUGCGUACCUUUUGUAUAAUGGGUCAGCGACUUAUAUUCUGUAGCAAGGUUAACCGAAUAGGGGAGCCGAAGGGAAACCGAGUCUUAACUGGGCGUUAAGUUGCAGGGUAUAGACCCGAAACCCGGUGAUCUAGCCAUGGGCAGGUUGAAGGUUGGGUAACACUAACUGGAGGACCGAACCGACUAAUGUUGAAAAAUUAGCGGAUGACUUGUGGCUGGGGGUGAAAGGCCAAUCAAACCGGGAGAUAGCUGGUUCUCCCCGAAAGCUAUUUAGGUAGCGCCUCGUGAAUUCAUCUCCGGGGGUAGAGCACUGUUUCGGCAAGGGGGUCAUCCCGACUUACCAACCCGAUGCAAACUGCGAAUACCGGAGAAUGUUAUCACGGGAGACACACGGCGGGUGCUAACGUCCGUCGUGAAGAGGGAAACAACCCAGACCGCCAGCUAAGGUCCCAAAGUCAUGGUUAAGUGGGAAACGAUGUGGGAAGGCCCAGACAGCCAGGAUGUUGGCUUAGAAGCAGCCAUCAUUUAAAGAAAGCGUAAUAGCUCACUGGUCGAGUCGGCCUGCGCGGAAGAUGUAACGGGGCUAAACCAUGCACCGAAGCUGCGGCAGCGACGCUUAUGCGUUGUUGGGUAGGGGAGCGUUCUGUAAGCCUGUGAAGGUGUACUGUGAGGUAUGCUGGAGGUAUCAGAAGUGCGAAUGCUGACAUAAGUAACGAUAAAGCGGGUGAAAAGCCCGCUCGCCGGAAGACCAAGGGUUCCUGUCCAACGUUAAUCGGGGCAGGGUGAGUCGACCCCUAAGGCGAGGCCGAAAGGCGUAGUCGAUGGGAAACAGGUUAAUAUUCCUGUACUUGGUGUUACUGCGAAGGGGGGACGGAGAAGGCUAUGUUGGCCGGGCGACGGUUGUCCCGGUUUAAGCGUGUAGGCUGGUUUUCCAGGCAAAUCCGGAAAAUCAAGGCUGAGGCGUGAUGACGAGGCACUACGGUGCUGAAGCAACAAAUGCCCUGCUUCCAGGAAAAGCCUCUAAGCAUCAGGUAACAUCAAAUCGUACCCCAAACCGACACAGGUGGUCAGGUAGAGAAUACCAAGGCGCUUGAGAGAACUCGGGUGAAGGAACUAGGCAAAAUGGUGCCGUAACUUCGGGAGAAGGCACGCUGAUAUGUAGGUGAAGUCCCUCGCGGAUGGAGCUGAAAUCAGUCGAAGAUACCAGCUGGCUGCAACUGUUUAUUAAAAACACAGCACUGUGCAAACACGAAAGUGGACGUAUACGGUGUGACGCCUGCCCGGUGC